UCCCAUCAAUACAUAUGUCUGACUUCGAGUAAAAGAUUAACGAGACAGCUAGCAAAUGUCCUAGGAGACAAAUGGGUAAAAGGCUGUUUGUACAUGUCAGUUGAGGGAGGGCUCAUUCUCGUCUCUCAGUCUCUGAAUGAAUCUGCUAGGAUGCACACCUGCACCAGGAAGACUUCCUUGACAAGGUAACCCUUUCCUCUGCAGAACACAUGAGCAUAUCAGCAUAUAGCUUACCUUACACGUACAUUCUUUCAGUCAAUGUGGUUUGGAAAGAACCUUCCACCUACUUUUUUUCUGCAUGUGACGUACAUUACUGUAUGUUACAGAAAAGCCCCAGGUAAAGUAAAUGGAAACUCUAUCCAGAAGCUAUGCACCUGGUGUUUUUGCAUUUCCCAACAGAUAUUACAGUUGCUGGAAUGAUGUGUGAAUCUUCUACAACACCUCCUAUUGACAAUUUAUUUUAGGUGUGGCAUGAGAGAGAUCUAAGAUAUUGAUACUAAUGACCCACAGCCUGUUGCUAAAGAGAAGGAAGAAAGGAAGUGAGGGAAUUUAUAGUCAAAAAAAGAAAAAAAGAAAAAAAAAAAGCCAAACUAUAAAACCCCACAAAUAUUUACAUCCUACUACUUUUGACAACAACCAUUCUAUCACAGACUGAAAACACUGCAAACAGGCAUGCUGACACUUCAAUAUUUCCAGGAUGGUCAUGGCAGUGGGAAGAACUACUAGACUGUCACUAAAGCUCACCUUUUCUAGGGAGGAAUGCUGAUAUGUGGGAACUGACAAAGAAGCGUGAGGGAGCCGAUGUUCACCUCUUAAACUUGACGAAAUUUGCUGGUGAAUCACAGGCUGCAAAAUACAACUGAGCAAGUUAAAUUCCACUUCCCUUGAACACGGAAACCAGCAGUGCAUUUUGUCACAUGGUCACAUCAGCAGACCACAACAACAAGCUCAGUCACCUGGUGAAACAAUCCACACAGAGAUUUGGAAGGAAAAUUUCCUUCAGGCAGGUGACACUGGACAUCUGGCAGUCCUCUACUUCUGUUCUGAGAGCAACACCCACGUUGUAGGGCAUGCUGCCAGAAGCUGCACCCACCUGGGAUGUAGCCAGCCCAAGAUGAAAGGGAGCACCAAAUCCAGAAGGGAUGAUUAGCAUUCACUGAUGUUGUUCAGGACACAAGUACCUGGGAACAUGCUAGUUCCCCCUAGGUGUUCAGUACUGCACUGAAAAGUCAGGGAACUAAGAAAGGUAAUCAGGUCAGAGCCAGGCUUGCAUAUGUUUUCUCCACAGGAAUUACAAACUAUUUGCCAAAUAUUCAGAUUGGGUAAUUGCUACCCAGACUGCUAAGGAUACGCAGCCCAAAAGAAGAUAAUUGCUCAGAGGUUCUGAUACAUUGCAUCACUCUCUGCCAAAGUAUAUGACAGAAUGAGAAUUAUCAACACAUAAUGUAAGGAUACAAGCAUGCGCAUACAGCAGAGCUGAACCCAUCAGCUGGCUGAAGCAGAAAAACAUCAACUCCCAGACUGUUCAUAAGAAAGCAAUAAUUUGAUCCUGAACUCCAGAAGCAUUUGUGGAAUCCAGAGAUUCCCUGAAAUAACCUUCCCUUUCUUAGGACAUGGGGACAAGCAUUUAUCCCUGCUCUCUCUAAAAUGUAAAUUUGACCAAAGCUAAUUUUACCUCAGUUUCUAGCUAUGAGAUCAUUGUUCUACUAGCAUACAAGUUUAGUCUCACACUGCCAUAUAUUUUAUGAACAAAUGCAACUUGGAGCAGAGCCUGUACUGUCCAUCAAGGGUGCUGCUGUGUGAUAAAAAAAAUCCAUCGUCCUUUGUAUUUAACUAUAAAGCUUUGUUGAAAAUCAGACUACUUGUAGCAAAAAUCUUUAGGUACUAGUAAGAUUAGGAAAUAGAAAGACUAGGCAUCCAAAAUACUGCAACCUAAUUGUAUGUGAGAGUAUGAGAUUCCUGAAGCAUUUCAGAGACACAUUUCUUC